rnacentral:rRNA from 1 species
GACGAAGGGGGCUAGCGUUGUUCGGAAUUACUGGGCGUAAAGCGCGUGUAGGCGGUUGUUCAAGUCAGGUGUGAAAGCCUUGAGCUCAACUCAAGAAAUGCACUUGAUACUGGAUGACUAGAGGACCGGAGAGGAUAGUGGAAUUCCCAGUGUAGUGGUGAAAUACGUAGAGAUUGGGAAGAACACCAGUGGCGAAAGCGGCCACCUGGACUGCACCUGACGCUGAAACGCGAAAGCUAGGGGAGCGAACGGG